CUAAAAACUGUGAUGGGAAGAAGUAAGGAAAAGAGGAACCUACAGAAAGCGGCCGGCAGAUGAGAGGCGCAGGAGAGGCUUUCCCGAAUACAUCCCGGAGUUUCGCACCAAAAUCAUGUGAGAGUAGGCUGCGACGGAGAGCAACCGUUAUUUUGCGAAGAGUAUCACUGGGACGGGAACGGACUGCAGGCCGUAACAGAACAGUCGUACUUGAUGAGACAGACGGCGCGAGCCGGCUGUGAACAAAGGUGGUAACACGGGUAUCUGACACUCGUCCUUUUU
rnacentral:ncRNA from 1 species